CUCAGCCAGAGGAGGGUCUCACCAUUUCUUCCUCCUCCUCAAGGAAAGAGAGGGCUCUCACUGCCUUCUGAUCAUAGCUAUUCCCCUGGCAGGAAGUCCCUCCUGUUGCCUGUCAGGCCUUCUACUUCUGAGAUGGUGACAGAUAUUGAAAAUCAGAUCGAUAAGCAGCUGCAAGACAGGCUGAACAAGGACAAGGUGGCUACUGCUCCUCUGGCCAAGGAGCCGGAACCAGGUGAUAGGAGAUUCAGCAGAUUUUCCUAUGGGAGAUGUCCCGGAACCAAUACCCCAUCAGGUUCUUUGAGAUCUAAGCCAGAUGCCAUCAUUUCCUUACGCUCUUGGGAGAAAGCAGCAGGACUUGGAAGUAAC
rnacentral:lncRNA from 1 species